GACGGAGGGCGCAAGCGUUGUUCGGAAUCACUGGGCGUAAAGCGCGCGCAGGCGGGACUUGCAAGUCGGAAGUGAAAUCCCGGGGCUCAACUCCGGGGCUGCUUCCGAAACUGCGGACCUGGAGACCGGUAGAGGUGGGUGGAAUUCCCGGUGUAGCGGUGGAAUGCGUAGAGAUCGGGAAGAACACCGGUGGCGAAGGCGGCCCACUGGGCCGGUUCUGACGCUGAGGCGCGAAAGCGUGGGGAGCAAACAGGAUUAGAUACCCUUGUAGUCC
rnacentral:rRNA from 1 species